rnacentral:rRNA from 1 species
GGCGGACGGGUUGCUAUACUGCAGUCGAGCGGACAGAUGGGAGCUUGCUCCCUGAUGUUAGCGGCGGACGGGUGAGUAACACGUGGGUAACCUGCCUGUAAGACUGGGAUAACUCCGGGAAACCGGGGCUAAUACCGGAUGGUUGUUUGAACCGCAUGGUUCAGACAUAAAAGGUGGCUUCGGCUACCACUUACAGAUGGACCCGCGGCGCAUUAGCUAGUUGGUGAGGUAACGGCUCACCAAGGCGACGAUGCGUAGCCGACCUGAGAGGGUGAUCGGCCACACUGGGACUGAGACACGGCCCAGACUCCUACGGGAGGCAGCAGUAGGGAAUCUUCCGCAAUGGACGAAAGUCUGACGGAGCAACGCCGCGUGAGUGAUGAAGGUUUUCGGAUCGUAAAGCUCUGUUGUUAGGGAAGAACAAGUGCCGUUCAAAUAGGGCGGCACCUUGACGGUACCUAACCAGAAAGCCACGGCUAACUACGUGCCAGCAGCCGCGGUAAUACGUAGGUGGCAAGCGUUGUCCGGAAUUAUUGGGCGUAAAGGGCUCGCAGGCGGUUUCUUAAGUCUGAUGUGAAAGCCCCCGGCUCAACCGGGGAGGGUCAUUGGAAACUGGGGAACUUGAGUGCAGAAGAGGAGAGUGGAAUUCCACGUGUAGCGGUGAAAUGCGUAGAGAUGUGGAGGAACACCAGUGGCGAAGGCGACUCUCUGGUCUGUAACUGACGCUGAGGAGCGAAAGCGUGGGGAGCGAACAGGAUUAGAUACCCUGGUAGUCCACGCCGUAAACGAUGAGUGCUAAGUGUUAGGGGGUUUCCGCCCCUUAGUGCUGCAGCUAACGCAUUAAGCACUCCGCCUGGGGAGUACGGUCGCAAGACUGAAACUCAAAGGAAUUGACGGGGGCCCGCACAAGCGGUGGAACAUGUGGUUUAAUUCGAAGCAACGCGAAGA